GACGGAGGAUGCAAGUGUUAUCCGGAAUCACUGGGCGUAAAGCGUCUGUAGGUGGUUUAAUAAGUCAACUGUUAAAUCUUGAGGCUCAACCUCAAAAUCGCAGUCGAAACUAUUAGGCUAGAGUAUAGUAGGGGUAAAGCGAAUUUCCAGUGGAGCGGUGAAAUGCGUAGAGAUUGGAAAGAACACCGAUGGCGAAGGCACUUUACUGGGCUAUUACUAACACUCAGAGACGAAAGCUAGGGUAGCAAAUGGG
rnacentral:rRNA from 1 species